rfam:Ictidomys tridecemlineatus contig018704, whole genome shotgun sequence.
UGGGGUGUGGCUCCGUGGUAAAGGGCUUGCCCAGCAUGCAGGAGGCCCUGGGUUCCAUCCCCAGCACCACAA